GACAGAGGUGCCGAGCAUUAGGCGGAAUCACUGGGCUUAAAGCGUGUGUAGGUGGAUGCCUAAGUACCUUGUGAAAUCCCACGGCUUAACCGUGGAACUGCUUGGUAUACUGGGUGUCUUGAGCCAGCUAGGGGCUACCGGAACAAAUGGUGGAGCGGUGAAAUGCGUAGAUAUCAUUUGGAACGCCAAUGGUGAAAACAGGUAGCUGGGGCUGUGCUGACACUGAGACACGAAAGCCAGGGGAGCGAACGGG
rnacentral:rRNA from 1 species